AAAAUGUAACAAGGUCUCCGUAGGUGAACCUGCGGAGGGAUCAUUACACAAAUAUGAAGGCGGGCUGGAACCUCUCGGGGUUACAGCCUUGCUGAAUUAUUCACCCUUGUCUUUUGCGUACUUCUUGUUUCCUUGGUGGGUUCGCCCACCACUAGGACAAACAUAAACCUUUUGUAAUUGCAAUCAGCGUCAGUAACAAAUUAAUAAUUACAACUUUCAACAACGGAUCUCUUGGUUCUGGCAUCGAUGAAGAACGCAGCGAAAUGCGAUAAGUAGUGUGAAUUGCAGAAUUCAGUGAAUCAUCGAAUCUUUGAACGCACAUUGCGCCCUUUGGUAUUCCAAAGGGCAUGCCUGUUCGAGCGUCAUUUGUACCCUCAAGCUUUGCUUGGUGUUGGGCGUCUUGUCUCUAGCUUUGCUGGAGACUCGCCUUAAAGUAAUUGGCAGCCGGCCUACUGGUUUCGGAGCGCAGCACAAGUCGCACUCUCUAUCAGCAAAGGUCUAGCAUCCAUUAAGCCUUUUUUUCAACUUUUGACCUCGGAUCAGGUAGGGAUACCCGCUGAACUUAAGCAUAUCAUAAGUGGGAGGAAGACU
rnacentral:rRNA from 1 species